AAUAGAUACCCGGGUAGUCCACGCCGUAAACGAUGAGUGCUAAGUGUUAGGGGGUUUCCGCCCCUUAGUGCUGCAGCUAACGCAUUAAGCACUCCGCCUGGGGAGUACGGUCGCAAGACUGAAACUCAAAGGAAUUGACGGGGGCCCGCACAAGCGGUGGAGCAUGUGGUUUAAUUCGAAGCAACGCGAAGAACCUUACCAGGUCUUGACAUCCCAUUGACCGCUAUGGAGACAUAGCUUUCCCUUCGGGGACAGUGGUGACAGGUGGUGCAUGGUUGUCGUCAGCUCGUGUCGUGAGAUGUUGGGUUAAGUCCCGCAACGAGCGCAACCCUUGUUCUUAGUUGCCAUCAUUUAGUUGGGCACUCUAAGGGAGACUGCCGGUGACAAACCGGAGGAAGGUGGGGAUGACGUCAAAUCAUCAUGCCCCCUUAUGACCUGGGCUACACACGUGCUACAAUGGACGGUACAAACGGUUGCCAACCCGCGAGGGGGAGCUAAUCCGGAUAAAACCGUUCUCAGUUCGGAUUGUAGGCUGCAACUCGCCUAC
rnacentral:rRNA from 1 species